CAAUAAUCCAUAUAAGUGCCCUUUUAUCUGUAAAAUUGAUUGUGGAGCACGUGUGAUUUGAAGAAAGAGAAAGUGGUCUAGAAAACUUGAAAUAACACAAUUCAAUAAAUUACAUGUGGGCUAAACCCAUAGUUUAAAUUCCAGGUCAUUUAACACUAAUGCAAACCUAUGACUUUAAAGUAUGCAAAGCUGUAUUUAGUCUUUUUACAGAUCCCCAGCUGUUCUAUAUCUACCACUCCUAUGAGUUAUAGCUCUAUACCAACCAUGGCUUUGCAUCUUUGAACACUGAGUUUCCAUACCUAAGGUCUGCCCAAUGUAACCCCAGCAAUCCAAAUCUACUUACAGACUCUACAGGAUGCUACCGUUUUAGAUGGGUACCGUUGUAAUCUAAAAAGCAGAUCAGAAACCAUGGAAAAAAAUACUAUUUUGCUCAUCUGACAUGUUAAUGUUUCUGUCCACUCACAUGUUUGAUCCUCAGAAUAGAACCAUACAUAUGUUUUAGGGUGACACAUUCAUUUGUUUUCUGUAUAUGUAUACUUGUUGCUCAUGACACAUACAUAUGUCUUUCUCAGAGUUAUACAUAGUUCUGUUUUAACCCUUUAAGGACACAUGACACGUGUGACAUGUCAUGAUUCCCUUUUAUUCAAGAAGUUUGGUCUUUAAGGGGUUAAAGGGAUAAUCAAAACACCAUAACCUCUAUCUCAUGUUCUUAUAUAAUGGUGCUAGCUUGGUUGAUUCUUUGGUUCUAAGACAUGUUUGAGUGGUGUGACACAGAGAGUCCCCAGGGUAUCUCUGGCCUGGCCACUUGCUUGACAUAUUGAAAUUGUGGAAACUGCACAUUCUUAUUAGCAAUAUUUAUUCCGAUAGUAUUUGGACGCCAUUCAUUAGAAUUGUCAACUGGCAUACUCAGCUGUCCUGGUAGGAGUAACUUUCAGAUAGAUUUUUCUAAUGCCACUUUAACCCCUUAAGGUCCAAACUUCUGGAAUAAAAGGGAAUCAUGACAUGUCACACAUGUCGUGUCCUUAAGGGGUUAAGUUUUAGUUUAAAUAAUUAUUAUUUGGGGUUAUGUGUACAGCUGUAACCCUGCUUUUUGAAUUCUUCAGCUUCAAUCCAUGCUUAUGACCAAUUAAGAGAAAUCGGCAUGUACUCUCCCUGGCAUUUUGACAUGAGGUUAAUGUGAAGUGAAAAGUUACAUUGCCACUGGCAUUUUAUGGAUUGGAUGAGCUUUUGUUUUCUAUUUGUAGAUAAUCUGUUUUAGAAACAAAAAUCUAAUUUACAGCGUGUUCGUACUUUAAC